GACGAACCGUGCGAACGUUGUUCGGAUUCACUGGGCUUAAAGGGCGCGUAGGCGGUACGCCAAGUCUGGGGUGAAAUCUUUCGGCUCAACCGGAAAAUUGCCUGGGAUACUGGCGUGCUCGAGGGAGGUAGGGGCAGCGGGAACUGCCAGUGGAGCGGUGAAAUGCAUUGAUAUUGGCAGGAACGCCGGUGGCGAAAGCGCGCUGCUGGACCUCUUCUGACGCUGAGGCGCGAAAGCUAGGGGAGCAAACGGG
rnacentral:rRNA from 1 species